AUCACUUCUUGGCCUUUUGGCUAAGAUCAAGCACAGUAUCUGUUUUUAGUUCAGUAAUACACUAGCCAGAAGUUUGAUUUUUGUUACUUUAAACCACACUAA
rnacentral:snRNA from 1 species